UGCGCGUGAUGUUUAUUUCUCACGAUGGUCUUCGUAGGCUGCAAGGCCAUGACGACAAUGCCAUUUUGGCAAAACUGAUGCAGCAGA